GUUCAGGGUUUGGUUAGGUUUUGGGCUAGGGUUACUGUUAGGGGUUACGUUCAGGGUUUUAUUUAGCUUUUCCGGUUAGUGUUAGGGUUAGUUAGGAUUACGGUUAGGGUUAGUGUUAGGGUUACGGUUGGGGUAGGGUUAGGCUUAGGGUAAGUUUAGGGUAAGGGUAGGGUUAGGGUUAGCAUGACGGUUAGGGUUAGGGUUUGGGUUAGGGUUUGGGUUACAGUUAGGGUCAGGGUUGGGGGUAAGGGUUAGGGUUAGGGUUAGGGUUAGGGUGAGGGUUAGGGUUAGGGUUAGUGUAGGGUUAGGGUUAGGGUUAGGGUUAGGGUUAGGGUUUAGAGUAGGGUUAGGGUUAGGGUUAGGGUGAGGGUUACGGUUAGGGUUAGGGUUAGGGUUACGGUUAGGGUUAGGGUUAGGGUUAGGGUUAGGGUUAGGGUUUGGGUUU
ensembl:lncRNA